rnacentral:rRNA from 1 species
UUAACUUACACCCACACCGCCAGGGGAUUACGAGCAAUGCUUAAAACCCAAAGGAUUUGACGGUGUCCCACCCCACUAGAGGAGCCUGUUCUAUAAUCGAUGAUCCCCGCUUCACCUAACCAUUCCUCGCCCAUCAGUCUGUAUACCUCCGUCGAAAGCUUACCAUGUGAACGUCCGCAGUAGGCUCAAUGAUUCCCCAUCAAUACGUCAGGUCAAGGUGCAACUUAAGGAAUGGCAAGCAAUGGGCUACAAUUUCUAAUUUAGAACAAACGAAAGACUAUGUGAAACCCUAGUCAUGAAGGUGGAUUUAGUAGUAAAAAGAAACUAGAGUGUUCUUUUUAACCCGGCUCUGGGACGCGUACACACCGCCCGUCACCCUCUUCGAUAGUACCACAUCUGUUAAUAACCCUAUAUCACGUUUUAGAAGAGGCAAGUCGUAACAUGGUAAGUGUACUGGAAAGUGCACUUGGCUCACUA